CCUACGGGAGGCAGCAGUAGGGAAUCUUCCACAAUGGGCGAAAGCCUGAUGGAGCAACGCCGCGUGAGUGAAGAAGGUUUUCGGAUCGUAAAACUCUGUUGUAAGGGAAGAACAAGUACAGUAGUAACUGGCUGUACCUUGACGGUACCUUAUUAGAAAGCCACGGCUAACUACGUGCCAGCAGCCGCGGUAAUACGUAGGUGGCAAGCGUUGUCCGGAAUUAUUGGGCGUAAAGCGCGCGCAGGCGGUCCUUUAAGUCUGAUGUGAAAGCCCACGGCUCAACCGUGGAGGGUCAUUGGAAACUGGGGGACUUGAGUGCAGAAGAGGAAAGUGGAAUUCCAAGUGUAGCGGUGAAAUGCGUAGAGAUUUGGAGGAACACCAGUGGCGAAGGCGACUUUCUGGUCUGUAACUGACGCUGAGGCGCGAAAGCGUGGGGAGCAACCAGGAUUAGAUACCCUGGUAGUCCACGCCGUAAACGAUGAGUGCUAAGUGUUAGGGGGUUUCCGCCCCUUAGUGCUGCAGCUAACGCAUUAAGCACUCCGCCUGGGGAGUACGGUCGCAAGACUGAAACUCAAAGGAAUUGACGGGGGCCCGCACAAGCGGUGGAGCAUGUGGUUUAAUUCGAAGCAACGCGAAGAACCUUAC
rnacentral:rRNA from 1 species